GACAAAUUUUAAAUGUCCCUGUCCCCUUCCCCCCAAUUAAAGUAGAUUGGGGGAAAGCGAGUAGGGACAUUUAAAAUUUGUU
ensembl:miRNA MIR3153 microRNA 3153